UACGUAGGGUGCAAGCGUUGUCCGGAAUUAUUGGGCGUAAAGAGCUCGUAGGCGGUCUGUCGCGUCUGCUGUGAAAACUCAGGGCUUAACCCUGAGCUUGCAGUGGGUACGGGCAGACUAGAGUGCGGUAGGGGGAGACUGGAAUUCCUGGUGUAGCGGUGAAAUGCGCAGAUAUCAGGAGGGAACACCGGUGGGCGGAAGGGCGGGUCUCUGGGCCGUAACUGACGC
rnacentral:rRNA from 1 species